rnacentral:tRNA from 1 species
GGGAUGUAACUCAGUGGCAUAGUACCUGCCUGGCAAGCAUGAGGUUCUGAGUUCAAUUCCUGGUAUCCACA